GACGAACGCUGGCGGCGUGCUUAACACAUGCAAGUCGAACGGAAAGGCCCCUUUGGGGGUACUCGAGUGGCGAACGGGUGAGUAACACGUGAGUAACCUGCCCUUGACUUCGGGAUAACUUCAGGAAACUGGGGCUAAUACCGGAUAGGAAUCCUUGCUGCAUGGUGGGGGUUGGAAAGCUUCGGCGGUUUUGGCUGGACUCGCGGCUUAUCAGCUUGUUGGUGGGGUAGUGGCUUACCAAGGCUUUGACGGGCAGCCGGCCUGCGAGGGCGACCGGCCACCUUGGGACUGGGAUACGGCCCAGACUCCUACGGGAGGCAGCAGUGGGGAAUAUUGCACAAUGGGCGGAAGCCUGAUGCAGCAACGCCGCGUGCGGGAUGACGGCCUUCGGGUUGCAAACCGCUUUCAGCAGGGGCGAAGCUUGUGGUGACGGUACCUUCAGAAGAAGCACCGGCUAACUACGUG
rnacentral:rRNA from 1 species